UGGGGGUUAGGACCUUCUGGGAAUUGAAGGGGUUCAAAGUUGGUAUUAUUUUUUUUUUACGUUUCCACCGUACAUUCUUUCGGCAAGUCUCGCCAGCUCCGUACGGCAAAGUUCGACACCGGACAUAGCUCAAAUGAAAGGUAAUAAAUCAGAGCAGGACCCACUGAAAUGAUUUUUUGGGGGUUAGGACCUUCUGGGAAUUGAAGGGGUUCAAAGUUGGUAUUAUUGUUUUUUUUACGUUUCCACCGUACAUUCUUUCGGCAAGUCUCGCCAGCUCCGUACGGCAAAGUUCGACACCGGACAUAGCUCAAAUGAAAGGUAAUGAAUCAGAGCAGGACCUACUGAAAUGAUUUUUUGGGGGUUAGGACCUUCUGGGAAUUGAAAGGGUUCAAAGUUGGUAUUAUUUUUUUUUUUACGUUUCCACCGUACAUUCUUUCGGCAAGUCUCGCCAGCUCCGUACGGCAAAGUUCGACACCGGACAUAGCUCAAAUGAAAGGUAAUGAAUCAGAGCAGGACCUACUGAAAUGAUUUUUUGGGGGUUAGGACUUUCUGGGGAUUGAAAGGGUUCAAAGUUGGUAUUAUUUUUUUUUUUACGUUUCCACCGUACAUUCUUUCGGCAAGUCUCGCCAGCUCCGUACGGCAAAGUUCGACACCGGACAUAGCUCAAAUGAAAGGUAAUGAAUCAGAGCAGGACCUACUGAAAUGAUUUUUUGGGGGUUAGGACUUUCUGGGGAUUGAAAGGGUUCAAAGUUGGUAUUAUUUUUUUUUUUACGUUUCCACCGUACAUUCUUUCGGCAAGUCUCGCCAGCUCCGUACGGCAAAGUUUGACACCGGACAUAGCUCAAAUUAAAGAUAAUGAAUCAAAGCAGGACCCACUGAAAUGAUUUUUUGGGGGUUAGGACCUUCUGGGAAUUGAAAGGGUUCAAAGUUGGUAUUAUUUUUUUUUUUACGUUUCCACCGUACAUUCUUUCGGCAAGUCUCGCCAGCUCCGUACGGCAAAGUUCGACACCGGACAUAGCUCAAAUGAAAGGUAAUAAAUCAGAGCAGGACCCACUGAAAUGAUUUUUUGGGGGUUAGGACCUUCUGGGAAUUGAAGGGGUUCAAAGUUGGUAUUAUUUUUUUUUUACGUUUCCACCGUACAUUCUUUCGGCAAGUCUCGCCAGCUCCGUACGGCAAAGUUCGACACCGGACAUAGCUCAAAUGAAAGGUAAUGAAUCAGAGCAGGACCUACUGAAAUGAUUUUUUGGGGGUUAGGACCUUCUGGGAAUUGAAAGGGUUCAAAGUUGGUAUUAUUUUUUUUUUUACGUUUCCACCGUACAUUCUUUCGGCAAGUCUCGCCAGCUCCGUACGGCAAAGUUCGACACCGGACAUAGCUCAAAUGAAAGGUAAUGAAUCAGAGCAGGACCCACUUAAAAUGAUUUUUUGGGGGUUAGGACCUUCUGGGAAUUGAAGGGGUUCAAAGUUGGUAUUAUUUUUUUUUUACGUUUCCAACGUACAUUCUUUCGGCAAGUCUCGCCAGCUCCGUACGGCAAAGUUCGACACCGGACAUAGCUCAAAUGAAAGGUAAUGAAUCAGAGCAGGACCCACUGAAAUGAUUUUUUGGGGGUUAGGACCUUCUGGGAAUUGAAGGGGUUCAAAGUUGGUAUUAUUUUUUUUUUACGUUUCCACCGUACAUUCUUUCGGCAAGUCUCGCCAGCUCCGUACGGCAAAGUUCGACACCGGACAUAGCUCAAAUAAAAGGUAAUGAAUCAGAGCAGGACCCACUGAAAUGAUUUUUUGGGGGUUAGGACCUUCUGGGAAUUGAAGGGGUUCAAAGUUGGUAUUAUUUUUUUUUUACGUUUCCACCGUACAUUCUUUCGGCAAGUCUCGCCAGCUCCGUACGGCAAAGUUCGACACCGGACAUAGCUCAAAUGAAAGGUAAUAAAUCAGAGCAGGACCCACUGAAAUGAUUUUUUGGGGGUUAGGACCUUCUGGGAAUUGAAGGGGUUCAAAGUUGGUAUUAUUUUUUUUUUUACGUUUCCACCGUACAUUCUUUCGGCAAGUCUCGCCAGCUCCGUACGGCAAAGUUCGACACCGGACAUAGCUCAAAUGAAAGGUAAUGAAUCAGAGCAGGACCUACUGAAAUGAUUUUUUGGGGGUUAGGACUUUCUGGGGAUUGAAAGGGUUCAAAGUUGGUAUUAUUUUUUUUUUUACGUUUCCACCGUACAUUCUUUCGGCAAGUCUCGCCAGCUCCGUACGGCAAAGUUCGACACCGGACAUAGCUCAAAUGAAAGGUAAUGAAUCAGAGCAGGACCUACUGAAAUGAUUUUUUGGGGGUUAGGACUUUCUGGGGAUUGAAAGGGUUCAAAGUUGGUAUUAUUUUUUUUUUUACGUUUCCACCGUACAUUCUUUCGGCAAGUCUCGCCAGCUCCGUACGGCAAAGUUCGACACCGGGCAUAGCUCAAAUGAAAGGUAAUGAAUUAGAGCAGGACCCACUGAAAUGAUUUGUUGGGGGUUAAA